ACUCCUACGGGAGGCAGCAGGGGGGAAUUUUGGACAAUGGGGGCAACCCUGAUCCAGCCAUGCCGCGUGAGUGAAGAAGGCCUUCGGGUUGUAAAGCUCUUUCAGUCGGGACAAAAGCGCAUGCGUGAAUAGCGUGUGUGGAUGAUGGUACCGGCACAAGAAGCCCCGGCUAACUCCGUGCCAGCAGCCGCGGUAAUA
rnacentral:rRNA from 1 species